CCGCGGGAUUAGAGUUUGAUCCUGGCUCAGAACGAACGCUGGCGGCAGGCUUAACACAUGCAAGUCGAACGCUCACCUUCCGGUGGGAGUGGCAGACGGGUGAGUAACGCGUGGGAACGUACCCUUUGGUUCGGAAUAACCCAGGGAAACUUGGGCUAAUACCGGAUAAGCAGGAAACUGGAAAGGUUUACCGCCGAAGGAUCGGCCCGCGUCGGAUUAGCUAGUUGGUGGGGUAAAAGCCUACCAAGGCGACUAUCCGUAGCUGGUCUGAGAGGAUGAUCAGCCACACUGGGACUGAGACACGGCCCAUACUCCUACGGGAGGCAGCAGUGGGGAAUAUUGGACAAUGGGCGCAAGCCUGAUCCAGCCAUGCCGCGUGAGUGAAGAAGGCCUUAGGAUUGUAAAGCUCUUUCAUCGGGGAAGAUAAUGACUGUACCCGCAGAAGAAGCCCCGGCUAACUUCAUGCCAGCACCCGCGGUAAUACGAAGGGGGCUAGCGUUGUUCGGAAUUACUGGGCGUAAAGCGCGCGUAGGCGGGUGACUGACUCACAGGUGAAAUGCCAAGGCUCAACCUCUGAACUGCCUUUGAUACUGGU
rnacentral:rRNA from 1 species